GAAAGUGCUGAGACUACAGGCAUGAGCUACCGCGCCCAGCCAACCACCUUUUGUUUAUCUGUCAUAUAUUUGGAGUUAAUCAAAAGUGGAUGACAUCUGACAUUGGGGUUCUGGGGUUUUUGUUACCUAUAAACAGAUAAUUGUUUAACUUUCUAAUAAUAUAUUAAAAUAUACUUUAGUUUAAAAAUCUAGUUGGAGCCAUUAGAUCUUGCAAGUUAGCACUAGAGCAAACUUAAAAUAGUUUGUCUAGUUCAUCUUGUUCAGCAAAAUUUGAAGCAUUUACAAUGGCUUACAGUGUAUGAGAAUGAACUAGGAGAUAAUUUUGUAAGUGAAGAGAAACCAUUGUAAUAAAAUCUCCCAAAAGCUUUCGGGUAUUCAAUGUUUGCUGGUAAAUAAACAAAACCAGGUUUUUGAAAUUAAAAAAAUGUUUUUGAAACACUUUCUAAAAUUUGGUAUACAAUGAUCCGAAAAUCUCAGGACACCUUUGCCUGUCCUUAAGGACCUGCACAAAUUCACUAAGUGGUUUGUUUUUAUUCCAGGCACUAAAAUAAUGGACAAUUUGAGUAUCAGUAGAGACGCUACAUGCACAGUUUUUCACAUACAAAUGCCAGUUUGUCUUAUCAGAGAGACUAUGUGCCAUGCAUCAGUUUUAUCCAAAACCUGGAGUAAAAGAAAGAAAUUUUAGCAAAGGGUUGUAAUGACAUCAUAAGUAAAACGAUAGGACUGCUAAAACAAUCAUGACGUCAUCUGCUGUGCGCCGGCCUGCAAGUACGUAGUGGUAAAAUCGUUAGAUAUCAUAUUUCUGCUUAUAAAAUAAAAUCCUUCAUGAACGCUCUUAAAACAACUGCAAAGCAAGCAGUGGUCUUUACUUCCAUAUAUAUAUAUAUGUGUGUGUGUGUGUGUGUAUAUAUAUAUAUAUUUUACAUAAAGGCAUGAAUGCACAAGGUAACACCAGCAGCUGUACUCUAUUCUUUAUUUGCUACAAAUCUACCUAUUUGUUUCCAGAUGAUCUCUGCAAAUAAAUAGGUAACGCUGUACAACUUUCAACAGUGAAUCAGAAAAUAGAUGUCUCUUCUAAUUCACAAGUACCAAUGGCUCAAUUAAUUUAAGGGACAUUUUCUGAGUUGUGUGAUUUCACAUGUAUUUAUCGUGUCUAGAACUAUGCAAACUUUUGUUUCAUUUCUCUCUUAGAUUUCUGUAGGAAGAGUUAAAGGAUGCGAAGUAGUCAUUUUACUUAUUCAUAACACAUUUCAGGGAAAAUCGUGCUGUUGGGGAGAAAGUUAAAGCUAUCAACUAUACUCUAGACUCUAGUCCAAUUUUUCACAUCUGGUUGCUACUUUAAAAAAGGAUCAUUUUAAUUUUUAAAUGCAAAAUAUGUUGCACUUUACCUUUGAUAUUCCAAGGUUCCCAUGGUCAUUUAGAAAAAUAAAGCAGGAAAUUCUAAGGCCUUAGCAUCUACUUUAAUAAGAUGUUUGCAUUUAUAAAAAUAACAAGAAACUGAGGGUUUGCUGAAGGAGCACAGGGCCUACAAGUAUUUCCUCAUUCCUGUCCCUGUGCCUGGAGGCCCAGCUAAGCAUUCUGUUUCUGAGAAACUCCCCUUGUCGCAGAGUCUGAAUUAGUCAGUCCCCCUUCUGGGCUCCCACUGAAAUCCCAAAUCACAUCUGUUAUAAAACAUUGCAUUACAGGGAGUGAUCAUGUAUGUCUCUCUCUUUCUCAGUCCUUCCAGAAGAUAUGUCGGUCCUUGGAGGACAAGUGCAGUUAUUUUGUUCCCUUGGUGUAUCUAGAUCCCAGCAUGCGAUGUGCCUGGAGUUUAUCAGCAGUUCUCAAACUCUGGCAUGCAUCAGUCAGAACCUCCCUGAGGACUUGUGUGCACAGACCGGGGCCUGCCCUUCCAGUAUCUUACUCAGAGGCCAGGGUGGGGUCCGAGAGUGUGCAUCUCCAACAGGUUCUCAGGUGCUGCUGCCAUGCUGGGCCCGCUGACAGCCACUGCAGAAAACUUUUUUUCUCUUUUUUUUGGCAGUUAAAGACAGGUUUUCUUUAGUUAAAACCUGAGAGGCACUCCUGGCCAAUUUGGUCAGGAGCGCUCUCUCUUACAGACUAGGAGUAUAUAUUGGUUUUAGGGUGAGGGGGAUGAUCAGAAGCUUGGAAUGUGCCUGUGUGAGGGAGAAGUUUUAUGGCAGGGUUGGAAUAUCACUGGGAGGAGGGGAGUUUAUCUUGGGGAAGGCAUCUUUCCGGCCAGAGGGGGGUUAUCUCGAGACUGGCAUCUUCCCAGCCAGAGGGGGGUUAUCUUGGGGCUAGCAUGUCUCUGGUCGAGGCUAGCAUAUCUCUGGUCUGGGAGGAGUUUGGAACGCUUCUGGUUGGAGAUGUUAUUUGUGAUUUAUGGUCAUGCUGACCUUAGUCAUUAGGCUGAUGCCCUUUGAAUUUAGGCAGUUUUUUUAUUAAGGUGAACUUUAGGAUGAUGGGCUUGUCCAAGAUGGCGAUGCUCCUGCUCUGUCGAGCCAGACCCUAUAGUUAUAAAAAAGACGAGGGACGGCGUGUUCUUUCUGGCUACUUCCUCACUGCAGGAAACUUUUAAUGGACUAACUUGUGAAAUAAAAUGUGACUCUGGAACUGAUUUACUAAAUAUGCAACUGUUUCUGGAUCUCAAAGGAGCUCAUGAGAUGAGUAAGAAAUGGGGGUCUGAGAGCAAAGACAAGAUUCCUUCUGUUACAAGCUACAUACAACACCUAAUCCACUCCUCAGAAGUCAAGGGAGCUUUAAGAAAUGUGUGCGUGCCAGAUUCCAUUCCCCAGAAAUACUGAUUGUCCUGAUCUGGGGCACAGUAAGGCACCCUCUUUUUCGAAAGCCCCUCAGCUGGUUACAAGGCAUGAUCAAGGUUCAAAAGCUACUGCUUUAAGAAAAAAGAAAAAAACCAUCUCCUACUUUUUGUGGGUUCAGUCACUAAUGUACAAAACCAAGUAAUGUGAUGCAGUCUUAAGCAGGGAACAAGAGAUCCCCAUUCUGAGGAUUUGUAGCAAUAUACGAACAUGACUCCUGGUACACUUAUAUGCACAAUAUAUUAUAUUACGAGUGGCCGAUAACUGCAGCUAAUCACCUGCUGACUAUAGCAACCUCACCUAGAGAGAAGCUGGUAUCCAGAACCCCUGGUGUGGCUCAAUUUUGAUGCUGAUGGUGAGCAUGAGACAAGGAGAGCCAGGAGACUGUGAGGGGAGGAGUUGUUCUGUGACCUAAGACAAGUAACUGACAUAGAAAUAUGUGAGCAAAUGACAGCUCAAGCCACAUUGCUCUCCUGUGCUCUGGACCACUGUAUUCUACUGCCUCUUGGACUUCUCCAUCUGAGCAAUUCAAGCUCAAUACACCUAAAAGCUGAAUAUUCAUAUUGCACUCUCCUGCCCUUCCCCUCCCUGCCCUUCCCUUCUCUGCAGUCCCAUUGACUUCCCAGCCUUUGUGAUUGCAUUCAGGAUCUAUCCAGGCUUCCAAGUGAGAAGCCUGGGUGUCAAUCUGGGCUUGUCUUUCUUAUGCUGCUACAUAUACUUAUCAACCAGUUCUGCCUCCUGAUCAGUCCCAGAGUCCCCUGUCCUGAAUCUUCCUUGCUCUUGCUUCAUUGUCUCUGGUAAUAGUGACAAACCUCCCUGUUUCCAGUGCCACCCCUGCAGUCCAUUCCCCAAACCACAGCUGCAGCCAUCUUUCUAAAACACCAAACACAGCAUGUCAGUUCACAGUCACUUCUCUUUCACACAGGACAAAAUCCAAAGCCACAGGAUGGAGCUCUCUGUGAACUGUAGGUAGCCUUACCAUUUAUUCCUUCUCUUCCUGCCAUUUGAAUUACUAGCACUCUCAAGAACUUUGCUCCUAUUGGCACUGCUUGUGCAAUGUCCUCCACAACCUAUUCUCUGGGGAAAUAACCAUAUAACCAAAUAGCUCAAAUGAGCAAUCCCUUCCAUUUGUGGCUAAACGUGCUCUCCUCCCCGUGUAGAAUUAAAGGCAAAGACUGAACUCAAAAGUCAUCCUUUGUCCUGGGAAGAGUUCUGUCAUUAAUUCUGUGACAUUGUUUCACACUUAUUAUCUCUAGCUUUCUCUUCCUCCAGUUGACUUCCAGACACUUAAGGGCAAGUACCAAGUCUAAUUUAUUUUUACAUCUCAACAUAUGGAUGGAACAGUGUAAAUCACUCAUGAUGGCUCAAACAUAAAGAAAAAAAAAGCCUAAGUUGUAACAGGUACCAAUACUUGCCCUUCUACUCAAAGGGCAAACAAUCAUGGUUGACUUACGUAAUUAUUUAAACUAAGUCAGGGCCAUGUGUGCUGCCCCGCUAGUAAUGGUGUAAUUGCAGGUGUACUUAGGGCUGUCCGCAAGGCAUUCUCAUUGGGUGCGUUGUCCCCUAAAUUAUAACUUGAGUCUUUUGUUAAUGAGAAGUUCUAGAUAUAUUCAGAAAGGACACUUGGACUCCGGGUCUCUCCCUGAAAACCCACCAGAACGAGAUAAAACUUCGAUCAGAGAGAGAAAUUCUACUCCCCCAUGUUAGUGUUUUCAUACUGCUUGCUAAAGCAAGCUGCUGAAACUGGUGGGAGUAAAAUUUAUUCUAAGCAUAUGCAAUUCACAGAUGCUCAGUCCACAGGACCAGUCAUCUGAUACUGAACUUCAGGGCCUUCAGGGUUUGAAAUGUUAAAUCUAGCACUUACUUUCUAGGGGCUCAGUAAACACGUCCCCAAUGUUCCAGGCCCCAGCUACCCCUCCUGCUCCCAACUGGCUCAAGGAACUUUCUAGACAACUGGAUUGAGUGUAUCUAUCUAAAUGUGUAGCAAGAAAGCUUUACCAGAUGACUCUGAAAAAGUGAAAAUUACAGGCAAACUAGUUAUUUGAAUAAGUUCCAAUGCCUGGAUUCUUGCCAAAUUCAAACUGGCCAGCUUGUGCCUAUGGGCCCAAUGGAGGACAAUCUAAUGAUGUUGUCCAAAGAGCCAACUGCUGAAAUUUUCUUAGAAAAUUCAGCCCUGUAGGAGGAAAAUGAAAAAGAAUGAAUGAGAAAACACUAUGAUGUUUAAUGGGGAUGGCCUACAGGAACAAGUUAAGAUUUACACUCUAUUCUCUAUGGGUUAGUGGUUCAAGAAUAAACCAGUAAUAAUUAACUGAGACUAAAAAUGUUUAUCACCAUAAUUUCAAAUGUCUGUAAGUGACAAAAGGAAACAAAAACGAAAAGAAUCUGAGGAACAGAAUCUGUGUUUUGUUUUUUGUUUUUUGUUUUUUUUAAGAUGGAGUCACACUGUCAUGCCGGCUAGAGUGCAGUGUCGUGAUCUUGGCUCACCGCAACCUCCGCCUUCCAGGUUCAAGUGAUUCUCCUGCCUCAGCCUCCUGAGUAGCUGGGAUUACAGGCACCCACCACCACGCCCAGCUAAUUUUUUUGUAUUUUCAGUAGACACCAGGUUUCUCCGUGUUAGCCAGCAUGGUCUCAAACUCCUGACCUCAUGAUUCGCCUGCCUCAGCCUCCCAAAGUGUUGGGAUUAUAGGCAUGAGCCACCGCGCCCAGCCCAGAAUCUUGUUUUAAAAAUUGUAUUUAUAGGGAAGCAACAUGUGGGUGAACCAUAUUCUAAAACUUUGAAAUUUUCUCAAAACAUACCCCUAUUAGUAAAACCUAACGUUAAAUAAGCUCAUAACUAGAGUACAUAUGAAGUCAAAAUUAAAACACGCACACACAGGCCACAGACACACACACAAGUCACAUGGCAAGGGCUACACUGUGUUGCAAGUGGGUUCUGCAACAGGCGAAAUGUCCUCAACAUUGUGACCCAUCCCCAUUCCAGGGCACCAGCCUGGGGUUACCUUCCCUUCAGUGCCCAUAAUCAUCAGUUGCCUUUAAUAUUAGAGUUGGUUUGUCACUCUCAUCAAAAAAGUUUCAGAUGCUAGCUGCUAGUCUUGGAGCUUGGAUCAAAGAAAAAACAAAGAAUAUUUUCUUUUCAAACAGGGAGGAAUCCUUCAUCUUUACUGAGACUACUUCUAAAAACAUUUCAGAACAUGUUAGUGCUGUCACGUGGACCAAGUGUAAUUAUGCAGCACAACGGACUUUUGGCAAUCGGUGUCUUCAAACCAGAAGUUUUUGAAAAAUUAUGAGUGAUGAAACUAAAUACAUGAAGCCAGAAAUUGCCGUUAAAACCUAUUGGAGCUCUCAGCCAGUUUCUUGUAUUCUGUGCUAGAGCCGUGUGGGUCUAACACACAGACCACUGGUGUCCCUUCCAGAUUUGAAAGCAAUCUGGAAGCAAGAGCAGAAACCCUUAAAACUCACCCCCUUUCACCCUUUAACCCAGAAUAUCUAGCAUAUUCUAUGCACUCAGUAAAUAUUCACUGAAUUCAGAAACAACAGCUCAGAAGCCUGAAGGGUCAAAGUGACUUGUCCACCUUCGCCCUGGGCUGGAGUGAGAAGAAAGGUCCCAGUUGCCAAGCCAGGCUUGGGCUUUCUAGAUCUGACCUCCUUUGAGGAGGGAGGGUGGUAGAUCUCACUUCGGAUACCAUUAAUAUCCCCACUUUGGUUUCUCUUUAAGACAGCUCGGACGUACUGAAUAGGAACAUCUCCAGAAGUGGGGUUGGGCAGGCUUAUUUCCACAAAGCUCCCUCAGUUGGGAAUUCUGACUCGCCUUGGAAUACUUUCCAGAGUCCCUUCUGGAGAGCACCUUCAUUCUGUAAGAGGCAGGGCUUUGCUUAGCACCGCUCAAGCAGUCUCCACUCCAUGCUCACUGACCUAGGGAUGGAGCUGCCUCCAUGGAAGGUGACCGAACAGAGGGCUGAGGAACUCUGAAGGAACGCAGACUGCUGGACAGCCCACGUUGAAGCUUCAGACAGACCCAUCUUCAUGAGCUGGCUCCCUGGGCCCUUUCCCGUUGCCAGCUCUGUCAUUAGACAUUCGCACACACCUGAUUUGGAUCUCCUGAAACCAGAACUCGGACGAGGCAGUGGAGUUUGGAAGUUGAGAGAGGGAUCUGGAGUCGGAAGCCCCUGGUGUGAGUUUCACAUCUGCCUCCUACCAGCGGUGGGAAAGUCACUUUAGUUCUUUGUACCUCAGUUUCCCCCAUAGGAGGAGAGUGUACACCUCUUAUGCUUAAUGUGGGGAUUAGGACGCAUGAAACGGAGUCUGGCAGCCAUUACGUCUAAGAGCAGCAAGUCCAGAAGUUAGCAUGUCCCAGAACCAAACAAAACCCUCACUAAACAAAGUGCAUCUUGAAUAAAAUCGACUGAAUUUGAUAGACACAGGUCUCAAACAAAUUUCUGUUAAAAGAGCUCAUCUCCUACUUUAAUCAUUUGCCCCUGAAAAUUCAGUCUUUUAUGUUACUGUAACAGAAUAGCGCCUGUUCACCUACUCUCUCUGUCUUCAGGAGCUUUCUGUUUUGAGUGAAUAUGGGAUAAACAGGCAAAUUACGUGGUAUUUAUAUUUUUCUCAGGAACAAAUCUCCAAUCACUAACAGUGGUGUUCAAGCAAGUAACAUCAAAGAAUGAGAACCCCACUGGAGGGAGAAAAGUGAUGCUUUGGAGUUGCUCUGAGGGUUUAAUUUAAAAUAAAGAGAAGAGUCUCUUCAGCAGAGACAGGGCUGACACCUGACUAACAGGACCCGCAGUCAGCCCCCAGGCAGGCAGGAGGGGCCCUGCAAGCUCAGCAGAGAAGAAACCUUUCCACCAGUUCCUUCAAUGAAAAGAGGAAUCUUUUAUUAUUGGAACCACACCCCACCUUUUCCCUCUUUCCUAUAUUUGGCAACAUUGUUAAAAUUCCAGAUGUCCUCAAAGAGCUCUUUGCAUUGGCGAGUAAUCUCUCCGGAGACUUUAACAAUCCUUCUUCCGUCCGGUGAUCCCCAAACCUGGCUCCCCAACAGAUCACAUGAAAAGCAUUAAAAAAAAUCCCAUGUCCAGGUCUUGCCCCGUGCCAAUUAAAUCAGAAUGUCUGGGGGCGGGAUUCAGACACUGGUUUUUGUUUUGAUUUUUUUUUUUUUUUAAUCCCAGGUAAUUCUAACGUGCAGCAAGAUCUGGGAACCACUGUUCUAUGUCUUGCCCCUCCCCCAACGACCGCGCUGGGCACCAAACCCCAACUCCCCAUGCCAGUGACAUCAACAGCAAGUACGGGCCUGGCUCUUGGAACCCGCGCAGCUCAAGGUUGGAAUUGUGCAAUUAAACCUUCCGAGGCAUGUUUCCCGUGUCAAGUGGGUUUAUGGUCUGUAGUCACGAAGCCAGACUCGCUCAUGUUCUGUCUGGACACUUGGCACACUUGAACCAGGGACAUCAAUCCGGUGUGUGUGUGUGUGUGUGUGUGUAAGACAGGUUUAAUAUUUUGGUUGGCUCAAUGUCAAAUUCUUCAGACAGCAAAAAGAAACAUCCAAGAAAGAAACUCUCCGGGUUUUGAGGAGAAAAGUUUGCUGUGAGCCCCAUUUUGAAACACCGUGGUGCUGGCCAGGAUGAUCUCUGUUUCCUGGGCUUCUGCACUAGAGGCCGCGAUCCCCCCAGCAGUGGCCGGACAGCCGCGUCCCCCUCCACCGCGAAGCCCAGGCGCGACCGAAGGGCUGCAGAACAAACUUCUACCAGCUUUAGACAGACUGGCCGAGCCCUAGAGCCAGCGUCGAAUAAUGGCACCGACGGGGAAACUGCUCCUUUAUUCGGGUCCCCACUCCCCUGCAGCACCCAGGGACCCUCGCGGGGAUCAGAGGCUCGCCUGGCAGCUGAGGAGGUCGCUGUGCCCGCGCGGCAGGGGUGCCAGGCGUCCGAGGUGGUGCUCUAAAAUCCGAGGGUCCUUCAGAUCCCGUGAAGCACCCUAGAAAUCGUCUGAAAUGAGGGCACCCAACUUUGGGCGCAGAGACAGGCCUCCUCAAUGUUUACUGCAACCGGCCGUGGGUACUUUGAAGCCAAUGUGUGAAGCACGUUACUUCGCAAAAGUGAAGCUCUUGGAAUAAAGGCUUGACACAAACAGCUGUGGAGAUGCUUUUAGAGAGGCUAAGUGUCCCACUGCACCGGUAGCUCCCGCAGGAGAAAUGCCAGGGAAGUUCGCGAAAGUUUGGCGGAAAGAAACUGAGCUGCUUUAGGCUGCAAGAACUUGAGCUACAUUCCUUUGGCAAGUCCACCCCAUCCCCACUGUUGCUUCUCCUGCAGUAAGAAUGUCCUCUAGGUCCAUGUUACAGUCAGACCCCUCCUCUCUUCACGAGAUUCACUAGGACCUUCAGGCCUGAUUCAACAACCCUGAUCUCCCGGCUCUGUCAAAAAUCAUAAUCCUGAAGUAAGUGGAGCUACAGAUCUGCCCUUUGCUGUCUCUGAAGGGGAGCAACCUUGCAUCUUUCCUCCGCAUCCAGCGAAGUGUUUGUGCCUGGGUUUCACACCCUGCAGCCUGAACGGUGGGUUUUUCACCAGGGCAAGUGCAGACAGACACAAGGCUCCUCACCGCCCGCACAACCUGUAACUUCCCUCUGAAUUAGGAGAAGUAAUUUGUUCCUUUGUUUUAGCGGAUCAGUACAGCCACUGUGCGUUGAAGUCAGCCCCUGGAUGCAGAGAUCGUGAAGGCUCUGCAGGCACAUGUAUGCUUCCUGCACACCUGGGCUGAGAGCAGUCCGUAUAGAAACACAGAGACAAAAAACAAAACUAGAGAAAGGCAAAUGUGAAGCACAGCAGUGGAACAUAAAAUGAAGACAGGAGUGAGUCUUACAAUAAAAGACCUAAAUAUGA